rnacentral:lncRNA from 1 species
GAAAAGCUGGUCCUGCUGUGGUGGAGAGAAUGGAGGAAAGAUAAUAAAAGGCCAAACCUUUGCUCCAACUUUCUCCUUAGCUUCCCUUUGGAUCUGGAAAGCUGGGGACCCACACGGCAGAGCCAUGGUACUGGAGGAGCCAUUAACAAAUGGAGUUUCAAUCUUGUUGCCCAGGCUGGAGUGCAAUGGUGCGAUCUCAGUUCACCGCAACCUCCGCCUCCCAGGUUCAAGUGAUUCUCCUGCCUCAGCCUCCUGAGUAGCUGGGAUUACAGGCAUGCGCCACCAUGCCCGGCUAAUUUUAUAUUGUUAGUAGAGAUGGGGUUUCUCCAUGUUGGUCAGGUUGGUCUCGAACUCCCGAUCUCAGAUGAUCCACCCGCCUCAGCCUUCCAAAGUGCUGGGAUUACAGGCGUAAGCCACCGUGCCCAGCCUUACUACUGUUCACUCUCUAAUGCUUUCCCUGCUCUCUUCCAUCACUCUCUGCAUGUUGGCAUCUCUUGGACCCACCUGACUUUCUUUGCGUCACACGCAGAAGCAGAACUCACAGGAAGGAGAAGCCUGCAUACACUAAGGGACCAGGGCUCUUGAUGUGUGAGAGGGCAGUGGAGGCAGCAUAUCUCUUACCUUCUGUGAUGGGCUGAAUUGUGGCCCCCAAAACUCCUAUGCUGCAGCCCUGACCCCCGUAUCUCGGAAUGUGAUUGUAUUUGGAGACAGGGUAUUUUAAAGAGUAAUCAAUUUAAAAUAAGGCCAUUAGGGUGGGCCCUAAUCCAUUCUGAUUGGUGUCCUUAUAAGAAAAGGAAACCAGGACACAGAUGCACAUAGAGGGAAGACUGUGCGGAGACACAAGGAGAAGACAGCCAUCUACAAGCCAAGGAGGGAGGCCUCAGAAGAAACCAACCCUGCUGACCUUUGACUUUAGACUUCCAGCCUCCAGAUAUAUGAGGAAAUUAACUUCUGUUGUUUAAGCCACCUGGUCUGUGCCAUGUGUUACAGCAGCCUGAGCUGACUCCUGCAUCUGCCAAGCCUGUGAUGUCCUCAAGAAAAGCGGAGGACAACUUCUGGCCCCAACCAAGAAAGGAGCAAGGGCAGCAACCUCACAAGCCAGAGGGGAAACAGCCUUCCCAGACCAGGGGGUGCUGGCAAACAAGGCAAGCUCCUCUUUUCCAUCUGCUUUCCAUUCUCCCGUGACUGGCCUUAGAGCAGACUGUGCUGCUGCAGGCAUCUCUGUGCUGUCAGGGAGUGUGCUCAGGUCUCCCUUCAAGAGAACCUGGUGCAAGAAGCCUCCAGCCUCCUGCUGCUAUAUUUUGGUUGUGUUGGGUGUUCACACUGCCCCAUGCUGCUCCCAGCCAAUGACUGAGCACAGAGGGUGCCAGAAACAGGGCUAGAAACAGGCCACUGUGCCUGAUGUGAGGCCUCGCUAAGAGGCGAGCUCUGUUCUGGGACACUAAGCCUGGCGGGGACAUCCUGGAGCUGCACCACAGUUUGAGGAUCAUCCUACCUGAUCCUCUUCCCAGCCUGCUCUCCUUUCCCAGGUGUCUGACCUGCACUGCAGUCUGAAGUCUCUCCUGACCACUCCUUCUGCCCGCUCUUCAUCCUUCACAGGUGUGGUGUUUCCCACAAUGCCUCUGCAGGUCUAAUCUUGUCUUGGCCUCUGCUUCUCAACAAAUCUGGCUGCCCCUAGUUGUCCUUCCUUCAAUUCAUCCUCCACACUGUUAGAGUCCUCCUCCUUUCUAAAGUCCAGAUCUGAUCUUGUCACGCUCUGCUUCCAUUCUUUCCAAGAUGUCUGUUUACUUACAAGAUAAAUUAGAAGCUUAUGUCUCUUGAGACUCAGCCUGUGCUCAACUGUCCACUCUCUUAUUCCCUACCCAAGGCCCCAUCUUGACAGCCACAUGGAACUAUCUACACUCUAGUCUAAACGUCAAUGCCGCUUCACAUCAAGGCCUGUGGACAUAUAACGCCUCCUUUUUGGAACAUCUUUCUCCAUUCUCAUCACCCCUUCCUGCCGCACACUCACUCACUCAUACACACACACUUCUCCCAGUGAUCUUUAAAUUCCUAUUAAGAUCCAUGCAAAUGUUCCCUUCUCGAUAGAGGUUUCCUGGACACACCCAAGCAGAGGAAAUCAUGCCUCUCUUUGUGCUAUUUUUAGCACUUACUAAUAUCUCUUAUGACAUUUAUCAAACUGUCCCACAAUUCUUUGUCUUUUAGGGAAGCCUUUAGGGUAGGCAUAAAGUCAUUUCUGUAUCUCCAACACUAGCAUAGUACAUCGUGUAAUGUUAAGUAUGUCUAUAUGGGUACAUAUGCAUACACACACAUGUGUGUAGGAAACAUAACGACAUGGCUGGGCGCGGUGGCUCACGCCUGUAAUCCCAGCACUCUGGGAGGCUGAGGUGGGAGGAUCACGAGGUCAAGAGAUGGAGACCAUCCUGGACAACAUGGUGAAACCCCGUUUCUACUAAAAAUACAAAACUUAGCUGGGUGUGGUGGCACGUGCCUGUAGUCCCAACUACUUGGGAGGCUGAGGCAGGAGAAUCGCUUGAACCCGGGAGGCAGAGGUUGCAGUGAGCUGAGAUUGCACCACUGUACUCCAGCCUGGUGACAGAGUGAGACUCCGUCUCAAAAAAAUAAAAAAAGAAAAAAAGAAACAUAUCAACAUUAGAGUUUCUAGCUUAUAUCCCAAUAUCUUGGCCAUUCAUUAGAACCCUGGUUAGGCUCCUCUCUUAUCAACUUACCCUCAUGACCAGCUUCUGCCUCCUGUUCCCAUCAGAGGAGGUUUAAGGCCAAUUAGCAACAUGUGUCUUUCAUCCUUUUCUUUUCUUCUACUGUGGAGGUUCAUCACAGCACUUCUAUCAGUUCACCAGAUGAAAGAGGCAUCCAUCUGUGCCUCUUCAUCUGUUGGUUGUAAUGCAGCACAUAUGAUAAGUGGGUAUUGAGUGGACCUGGACUGGAGUCACAAUCACUGAUUAUGUGCUGGAAGUCAGAGGGGGACAGGGAAAGUCCCCCUUUCCUAGGAAAAGGGUCCUCAAGUUGCCAAGAAAAGCAAGAGAUCAAAUUCCCCCGAGGAGUGGAUUUCUGACCACUCCUUGGUUUGUUUUUUGUUUUUGUUUUGUUUUGUUUGUUUUUUGCUUGAGUUAAUUUAAGUUAGUUUCUAUUACUUGCAACUAAGAAGUUUUAAUGAAUUCACUUGAAAUACUAUUGUUAGGAAGGAAACAACUUGCUUGAGAGGUCAAGCUUAGGCUGAAAGUCAACAUUGGCCAAGGCACUUAGAGAGCAAUUAAUCCUCGUGGCAAGGCAGGGAUGGGGUGGAGGGGAUAGAUGAUUCCUAAGGUCCUUUCUAAGAGGAUAAGAGUGCUUCCCCUGGUCAGUGGUUCUGGCUAGUCUCCUCCCUCCCUUCAAAAUGCGAAGCAAAAGGCAGGGAGAAGGUCUCCUUGCAGAUCUUCAGCUCUCUCAGGGAAAGAGACCCACGUCACUCCCAGCAGAGUCCUGCAUGGCAGCAAGGGGCCAGGGCGGAAGAAGAACAAAAGACACCUGGAGAAGAAAGGCAGUGCCUUUCCCUGCAGCAGCCAGGGCUGCAGAUAUGAUGGAGCAGGGGAGAUGGUCUCUUCUAGAGCAGCAUGAGCCGAGUUACACAGAUGAUGUAAGGAAGAAGUAGAGAAACUGCAGUCUCAGCUCAGAGUUUUCCUUACAUGCUUGUGAAAAUAAAGUCACCCUCUGUUGCAGGCUGAAUAAUGGCCCCCCAGGAUGUCCACAUUCUAAUCCCUGGAACCUGUCCAUGUUUUAUUAUAUGGCAAAAGAGACUUUGUAGAUGUGAUUAAAUUAAGGCUCUUGAGAUUGGGAGAUUAUCCUGGAUUAUCAGAGUAGGCUUGAUGUAAUCACAAGAGUCCUUCUAAGAGAAAAGCAGGAUGCAGCCCCCUGAUGACAGAAGCAGAGAGGAAAGCAGAGUUGGAGACAGAAGACGCUAUGCUAUUGGCUUCCUAAAGACAGAGGAAAGGGCCACAAACCAAAGAAUACACUUGUAUUCUUCAGUAAAUAGCAGCUGCCUUGGAGUGUUGCUUGAUUCAAUACAUGUAAUAGUAAUCGUUCAAUAAAUGCUUGCUAUUAUACCCUUGGAUGUCUUAGAGCUGCACUGUCCAAUAUGGUAGCCACAAGCCACAUGUGACCAUUCGACACAGGUGUGGAUUUUCCGAAUUGAGGUAUGCUGUAUGUGUAAAAUAACACACCAAAAUUCAGAUACUGAGUACAAAACAAAGAAUGUAAAAUAGCUCAGUAAUCUUAAUAUUAAUUAUUUGUUGAAAUAACAUUUUUAACACAUCCAAUUAAAUAAAAUAUAUUAAAAUUAAAUUUCACCUUUUUUUAGUGUAGCUACUAGAAACUUUAAAAUUCUAUAUGUUGCUCACAUUAUAUUUCUUUCAGACAGUGCUCUUUUGAGUCUCUGACCCGUUACUGAAUAGAACAGUCUAGAAGCAAGCCCUACACAUUUAGGGAAAGUGAUGUCAUACACUGACUUCUUUACAGUCACCCCGGUACUCAUCUGCUCCUUGGGCUCUGAAUUUCUACAAUGCUGACUGAGGAACAUCCCCGAGCACACCGUUAAUUCUGGACUGACAGGUACAACUAAACCAAGAGAGGGAAUUCAGUUGGCCUCAGAGACAACACAGGCCCCUGCACCAGGACAGAAGGAAGUAAUCGCUCCUUUCUCUUUUAAAUGUCCAAUAAGUUCAGAGCACCACACCCCCACACAGUGCCUCAGUGGGCACCUGUACGUACACUCCAUGAGGUGGCUAUUCCUUUAAUCCCUACCAUCUGCUCCAAAAUGUUUAUCCAACAGUUUGCCAUGGUGCUUGAACUUCUAUCAUUUGGGUGCCUCUUUGGAACAGGAAAUUUAACUCUGUCUGGUGACCGUGCACAGGAUUUAUAGCUGUUGAGCCUCAGGAGCCAUCAGGAACUGAGCUUGCUUUCUUUCCUUCUCUGGCCCUGCCCAUUCACUUUCUGUCCAAGAGUGGCCCUAAACCAGAAGAAACCUCCCAACUCCCUUCUCCUGAUAGUCCCUAAAGACCACACACAUGGUCUGCUUCCUUAUGAAAGGCUCCACUGCCAAUCACUGCAGUGAUACUGAUGACAAAGGAUGGCAACAAUAACAAAGCUAGGCAAGCUUCAAGGGCUCCAGAAUCUUACUCAGGUAUCUCAGCCACGAGCCCGGGUCUAGGGGGACUGAAAGGGACUUUGGCCACUGCCAUUAUUCUUGAGAGUGGAGCUCUCCACCCAGUGCCUGAAAGUAAAGGAGAUGCGGGUUCAGCCCAUUCUCCACUUUGUAGGCGUGAAGAUGCAGCAGAGGCAGAAGAACAGCUGCUGCCCUCAGGGACAAGUGUGCAAUUUCUACCUAAGAGGCCUCUAGGCUGCGUGAUGUGCAUUUCACAGGUUCUCGGCCUCUACCUCUUGAUGUUCCUCACAAUGUCCACUAAAAACUGUGUUUCUAAUUAAAAAUAGAAUUACCAUAAGAUCCAGCAAUUUCAUUAUUGAGUAUAUACCCGAGAGAAUUGAAAUCAGGGACACAGACAGAUAUUUGUACACCCAUGUUCAUAGCAGCAUUAUUCAAAAUAGCCAAAAGGUAGACACAACCCAGUGUCCUUCGACAGAUGGAUAAACAGGAUGUGGUAUAUACAUACAAUUGAAUAUUAUUCAGCCUUAAAAGGGAAGGAAAUUCUGAUAAAUGCUUCAACACGGAUGGACCUUGAGGACCUAAUGCUAAGCAAAAAAGCCAGACACAAAAGGAUAAAUAUUGUAUCACUCCAUUUAUAUGACGUACCUUGACUAGUCAAUUUCACAAAGACAGAAAGUAGGUUAAGGUUGCCAGGAGCUGGGCAAGGGGUCACUGGGGACCAAUUUUUUGAUGGGUACAGAGUUUAAAGGGCAAGAUAAAAAGAGUUCUGGAGAUGGACAGUGGUGAUGGUUGCACAACUAUGUGAAUGUACUCAAUGCCACUGAAAUGUACACUUAAAAAUGUACAUUGUAAAUGGUAAAUUCUGUUAUGUGUAUUUUAUCACUUUUUUAAAAGUACCUCUAAUUUUUUAAAAAUCUGUUCUUAUAACAUUUCUAACCAGAGCCAGGUUGCAAUCAAAUAUGUUUUCAAGUAUACCAAUUUGAGAAAACUCAUUCCCCACUCCUCACACUCCCUAAUGGAAGAACCUCCACCAGGGAAACCCCCUACCCCCACCAAACUCUCUCAGUUCUAGGCACUCCUCCCCAAGGGUGGGCUUCAUUCAGAUGUGCCUUUGUCUCUCCUUAGAAUCUGCUGGCCACCUGGGAGGUGCAUACUUAUCUGAUCUCAGGGGCCUGGAUGCUUCCACCCAGAACCCACAGGGGAGGCCUGCACUUUGGCAAUAAGUUUACAUCAGGGGCUGUUAGCAAGGCAAGCACAUGUGGGUGCAUGCCUGACAUCAGAUUCUGUUAGUAAUAAAGCUGAUAGUUUUAUUACCAUCUUCUUGACUACUGAUAAUAAGGAGAUGAGAUCACGGUUAUCAGGACCUAUGAACUUGGAGAAAAGUCUUUAACCACCGAGUUAAGUUCCCUCUAAUUCUCUUUAUCAAGAACUUUGAUUCAGAACCAGGCCAGAAAGAAAAAAGGUCUUAUUCAUUGAUUCCCUAAAAUCCAAGCAUGACCAGUGUUAGACCAGAAAGUGAAGUCCAGGGUUUUCCGCUGGACCUAAGUUUCAGCAGCCUUGUCUAAGGAAGGUGGUUACUAAAUGCUGGUUAUUAAGCUAUUGUCUCUAGGAUCUAAAUCUACCCUUUUGCACUUGUUUUGUGAUGCUGGAUCCAGGACUCUGGUAAGCAUAUUUCUCCAUUGCCAGCUUGCUCGCUGUCAGGUUCUGCUGACAGGGAUGUUGGAGAGAGACUGGAAGGCAAGAGAAGGAAGAACUGUCCUUCCUAUCAGCUGGCUACUCCUGGCAAUAGGCCCAGGAAUGGUCCUUCAUCCUAGCAGCAGGUUGUCCCAGUCACCAGCUUCUUUUAGCGCCCUCAAAACAAGCCUCAUGACACCUCCUCAGAAGGACCGUGUGAGUGAGGCAGCACCCACUCUACAGAGAUCUGAGCUCUGCAGGGCCCCUCCGUGAUAAACAGAAUCAGUCAGAGGGGGACUUAACUCAGUGGCUAAGGACUUUUCUCCAAGUAUGGAGGUCCUGAUAACCCUGACUUCAUUAACCCUUUAUUGCCCUAGCCAGUGGGGUGGGAGGGAGAGAUUGUUUCCUGCCCUUUUUUCGUUGUUAUAUCACUAUUGUCUUGUUUUGCUUUUUUUUAGUCCACCAAUAACUAUUUAAUUUCCUAUAUUAAACAUUUCCUGUUAAAUACCUAGUGUGGUUGCUGUUUUUCUGACUGGGCCCUGAGUACUUUCUGGGGUUGAGGUCCAUGGCAGAUAGCCCUUAGGGUGACUCUCAUGACUCCUGUCUCUGGUGUCCAUGGCCUGUAUAAUCUCUUCCUUUUGAGUGGAGGUGAGACGUGUUGACGUGGGUCUACCCAUAGAAUGUGGCAAAGGUGAAAGGACUUUGCAGAUGGAGUUAAGGUCCCAAAGCAGUUGACUUUGAGUUAACAAAAAGGGAGGUGAUCUGGAACGAGCCUGACUUAAUCAGGUGAAAGACCUUGAAAGAGGAACCCUGGCCCUCCCUGAGAUUGAAGAGAUUCUCCUUGCUGAAGUAGCAGCCAUUCUGAGGAAGCCUCCAUGGAAAAGAACUGAGAAUGGCCCCCAAGACCAGAGGAAGCCUCCAGCUGACAGCAAGCAAAACCCCAGGCUCUCAGCCAUACCACCACAAUAAAAUAAAUUUGGCCAACAACUUGAGUGAGGUAGGAAGCAGAUUUUCCCCCAGCAGAGCCUCCAGAUGAAAACUUUGGCUGAAGUUUCAGUCCAGCUGAAGCCUCAACUGCAGUCUCAUGAGACUCUGAGCAGAGGACUCAGGUAGACCACACCUAGACUCCUGACCCACAGAAGCCAAGUUGAUAAAUGUGUGCAUUGUUGGGAGCUGCUUGAUGUGUUGGUGAUCUGCUAUGCAGCAAUAGAAACUAAUACAACAUCUAAAGACUUCAUAUGAGGCAAACUAAACACUGUUCCAAGUACCCAUGAAAAUCCCAGAAGAGCUGACACCAACAGCCCAACACAGCCAGGUUUUUUCUUCCAGAUUGGGACUUACAGUACCAAUCAAAGAAGGUGGCUUUCAUUUAGGAACCAUGUGGUUCAAAACUACAAGUGUUUUUAAACAUUAGAAUCACACUCAGCAUACUAAGAUAUCACACAAGAUAACUGAGAUUUAGGCAAAGCCGAUUUGCCUCUCCUUCUCACUCUCAUUCUGUGGUGUAUAUUCAUUGAAUGGAAUAGCAGGUGGAGAUUCUCUUACUAUUUAAAGUGUUCUCUUGCUCACCGGGCACACUGGCACAUGCCUGUAAUCCCAGCACUUUGGGAGGCCAAGGUGGACCUCCCACUUGAGGUCAGGAGUUUGAGACCAGCCUGGCCAACGUGGUGAAACCCCAUCUCUACUAAAAAUACAAAAAUUAGCCAGAUGUGGUGGUGCAUGCCUGUAAUCCCAGCUACUUGGGAGGCUGAGGCAGGAAAGUCACUUGAACCUGGGAGGCAGAGGUUGCAGUGAGCCAACAUUGUGCCACUGCACUCCAGCCUGGGCAAUAGAGACUCCAUCUCAAAAAAUAAUAAUAAUAAUAAUAAUAAUAGUACAGUGUUCCCUUGCUCAAUACAUAGUUGGGUUUGCUUAAGUUAAACAAGCAUAUAAUGUAAUUCCUUAUUUGAGAUUUUGUGUUUGCAUUUUUAAAUUAAUAAGACAUUUGUGAUAAAUUUUGGAGAAGCUUCUUUUACACUUUAAGACAUCUAGUUUAGCCAAGACCAUAUUGAACCUGCCCAUAGUCCAUUGACAAGAGAAAUGAAAAUCCUCUUUCAGGAGGUAGCUGCAAAAGAAUAUGAAUGCUUCUUUGGGCCCUCUAUGUAAAACAUGGCAACAAAAGGACUCAAGCCAGAUCUUCUAUCUCCAUCCAUCUCAGAAAGAAUAAUUCAUAAUGAGCGAAAAACAGCAAAAUUGUGUCACUAAAAUGACCUGAGACUUGGAAUUAGGCAAAAGAAAAUUCUAAGUGUUCUUUCAGUGCAGUACAGGGCAUGAUUUCUAUGGACUAUGUUAUUUUACAAUACUGUAGGAAUACACCAGGCACAGUGGUUCGUGCCUGUAAUCCCAGAAAUUUGGGAGCCUGAGGCAGGAGGAUCCCUUGAUCCCAGGAAGGACCAACCUGGGCAACACAGUGAGACUCUGAGAGACAAGCGCUGGACACAGGAGCAGGCCACAUGGGAUGGUCUGGACAGGCUCUGCAGCACAGCAGCCUUCAUGAGAAACAGGCAGAAGGGCCCGGGCAUGAGAAGCUACUGCAAACAAAAAGCAGCAGCAGCUAUAAAGGGCUUGUUCCCAAGCAACAUGAAUCAUCUCUGAACUGGUCUGGUCCAAUCCCUAUAGUCUAACUAGCAAAUAUAUUUUUUAAAAUAUUAGCAAACACACACACUAAAAACAGAUUUUCAUCUUUGCCAAGUGUGUGUUUUUUUCCUACACCAACCUAUUAUCCAAUUCUCCUACAACAACUGAGUAUCCUAUAAUUCAGUUCAACUCUGAGACUCAGUGGCGGGCAGACUCCACAGGCUUAAGGGCACAGUCCCAUAGGAUUGCCCUCACUUCUGAUGCCAGUCACAAGCAUCAGAUCUCCAGGCUACCCACAUUUGCAUCUGACUUGGCUACAAAGUCAGGCUUCCCACACCCCACCCCUUGCCAGGGUUCAAUAAUUUGCUAGAAUGACUCAUAGAACUCAGGGGCCACUUUACUUACAUUUACCGAUUUAUUAUAAAGGAUACAAAUGAAGAGCCAAAGGAACAGGCCCAGAAGAUGAGGUCCGGGAGGGUCCGGAGCACAGGGCUUCUGUCCCCAUGGAGUUGGGAUACACCAUCCUCCCAGUAUGUGAACGUGUUCACCAACUCAGAACCUCAUUGUUUAAAGGUUUUUAUGGAGCUUUUAUUACAUAGGGAUGAUUGAUGGAAUCAUUGGUCAUUGGUGACUAAAUUCAAUCUCCAGCCCCUCUCCCUUCCCCAUAUGAGGAGGGGGUGGAGCUGAAACUUCUGAGCUUUAUCAGAACUUGAUCAGAACUAGCUCCCAUCUUAAAGUGAUCUAGGGGACCCUGCCAAGAGUCACCUCAUUAGCACAAACACAGAUUGCUGAAAGGGGUGCAUAAUGAAUAAC